rnacentral:rRNA from 1 species
CCUACGGGCGGCAGCAGUGGGGAAUAUUGCACAAUGGGGGAAACCCUGAUGCAGCGACGCCGCGUGAGUGAAGAAGUAUUUCGGUACGUAAAGCUCUAUCAGCAGGGAAGAAAAUGACGGUACCUGACUAAGAAGCCCCGGCUAACUACGUGCCAGCAGCCGCGGUAAUACGUAGGGGGCAAGCGUUAUCCGGAUUUACUGGGUGUAAAGGGAGUGUAGACGGCAGCGCAAGUCUGGAGUGAAAUCCCAUGGCUUAACCAUGGAACUGCUUUGGAAACUGUGCAGCUAGAGUGCAGGAGAGGUAAGCGGAAUUCCUAGUGUAGCGGUGAAAUGCGUAGAUAUUAGGAGGAACACCAGUGGCGAAGGCGGCUUACUGGACUGUAACUGACGUUGAGGCUCGAAAGCGUGGGGAGCAAACAGGAUUAGAUACCCCUGUAGUC